rnacentral:rRNA from 1 species
GAUAAACGCUAGCGGCAGGCUUAACACAUGCAAGUCGAGGGGCAGCAUAGAUUGUAGCAAUACAAUUGGUGGCGACCGGCGCACGGGUGCGUAACGCGUAUGCAACCUACCCGUCACAGGGGGAUAAUCCGGAGAAAUCUGGUCUAAUACCCCAUAACAUAUGGAUCGGCAUCGGUUCAUGUUGAAGUUUUUGGAGGUGACGGAUGGGCAUGCGUAGCAUUAGCUUGUUGGUGAGGUAACGGCUCACCAAGGCGACGAUGCUUAGGGGGACUGAGAGGUUUUCCCCCCAGACUGGUACUGAUACACGGACCAGACUCCUACGGGAGGCAGCGGUGAGGAAUAUUGGUCAAUGGGCGCAAGCCCGAACCAGCCAUGCCGCGUGCGGGAAGACGGCUCUAUGAGUUGUAAACUGCUUUUAAACAGGGAUAAAGCACAGUAUGUAUACUGUGUUGAAGGUACUGUAAGAAUAAGGAUCGGCUAACUCCGUGCCAGCAGCCGCCGCAG